rnacentral:rRNA from 1 species
CUGGCGGCAGGCUUAACACAUGCAAGUCGAGCGGGGAGAUGUAGCUUGCUACAUUUCCUAGCGGCGGACGGGUGAGUAAUGCUUAGGAAUCUGCCUAUUAGUGGGGGACAACAUUCCGAAAGGAAUGCUAAUACCGCAUACGCCCUACGGGGGAAAGCAGGGGAUCUUCGGACCUUGCGCUAAUAGAUGAGCCUAAGUCAGAUUAGCUAGUUGGUGGGGUAAAGGCCUACCAAGGCGACGAUCUGUAGCGGGUCUGAGAGGAUGAUCCGCCACACUGGGACUGAGACACGGCCCAGACUCCUACGGGAGGCAGCAGUGGGGAAUAUUGGACAAUGGGCGAAAGCCUGAUCCAGCCAUGCCGCGUGUGUGAAGAAGGCCUUUUGGUUGUAAAGCACUUUAAGCGAGGAGGAGGCUACUUGGAUUAAUACUCUAGGAUAGUGGACGUUACUCGCAGAAUAAGCACCGGCUAACUCUGUGCCAGCAGCCGCGGUAAUACAGAGGGUGCGAGCGUUAAUCGGAUUUACUGGGCGUAAAGCGUGCGUAGGCGGCUUCUUAAGUCGGAUGUGAAAUCCCUGAGCUUAACUUAGGAAUUGCAUUCGAUACUGGGAAGCUAGAGUAUGGGAGAGGAUGGUAGAAUUCCAGGUGUAGCGGUGAAAUGCGUAGAGAUCUGGAGGAAUACCGAUGGCGAAGGCAGCCAUCUGGCCUAAUACUGACGCUGAGGUACGAAAGCAUGGGGAGCAAACAGGAUUAGAUACCCUGGUAGUCCAUGCCGUAAACGAUGUCUACUAGCCGUUGGGGCCUUUGAGGCUUUAGUGGCGCAGCUAACGCGAUAAGUAGACCGCCUGGGGAGUACGGUCGCAAGACUAAAACUCAAAUGAAUUGACGGGGGCCCGCACAAGCGGUGGAGCAUGUGGUUUAAUUCGAUGCAACGCGAAGAACCUUACCUG